GAUGAACGCUGGCGGCGUGCCUAAUACAUGCAAGUCGAGCGAAUGGAUUAAGAGCUUGCUCUUAUGAAGUUAGCGGCGGACGGGUGAGUAACACGUGGGUAACCUGCCCAUAAGACUGGGAUAACUCCGGGAAACCGGGGCUAAUACCGGAUAACAUUUUGAACCGCAUGGUUCGAAAUCGAAAGGCGGCUUCGGCUGUCACUUAUGGAUGGACCCGCGUCGCAUUAGCUAGUUGGUGAGGUAACGGCUCACCAAGGCAACGAUGCGUAGCCGACCUGAGAGGGUGAUCGGCCACACUGGGACUGAGACACGGCCCAGACUCCUACGGGAGGCAGCAGUAGGGAAUCUUCCGCAAUGGACGAAAGUCUGACGGAGCAACGCCGCGUGAGUGAUGAAGGCUUUCGGGUCGUAAAACUCUGUUGUUAGGGAAGAACAAGUGCUAGUUGAAUAAGCUGACACCUUGACGGUACCUAACCAGAAAGCCACGGCUAACUACGUGCGAGCCGCCGCGGUAA
rnacentral:rRNA from 1 species